rnacentral:tRNA from 1 species
AUGACGCUCAAGAAAAAGCCGCUAACUUUUAUCUUUUAAUGGUUAAACUCCAUUUGUACUU